rnacentral:rRNA from 1 species
CACGUAGGGCGCAAGCGUUGUCCGGAAUUAUUGGGCGUAAAGAGCUCGUAGGUGGUUUGUUACGUCCGCUGUGAAAUCCUAGGGCUUAACCCUGGGCUUGCAGUGGAUACGGGCAGACUAGAGGUAGGUAGGGGAGACUGGAAUUCCUGGUGUAGCGGUGAAAUGCGCAGAUAUCAGGAGGAACACCGGUGGCGAAGGCGGGUCUCUGGGCCGAUAUUGACGCUGAGGAGCGAAAGCGUGGGGAGCGAACAGG